rnacentral:rRNA from 1 species
UACAGAGGGUGCAAGCGUUGUUCGGAAUUAUUGGGCGUAAAGGGCGCGUAGGCGGCCAUACAGGUCAGCUGUGAAAACUCGAGGCUCAACCUCGAGACGUCGGUUGAAACCGUAUGGCUAGAGUCCGGAAGAGGAGAGUGGAAUUCCCGGUGUAGCGGUGAAAUGCGCAGAUAUCGGGAAGAACACCCGUGGCGAAGGCGGCUCUCUAGUACGGUACUGACGCUGAGACGCGAAAGCGUGGGGAGCGAACAGG